AUUGAACGCUGGCGGCAUGCCUUACACAUGCAAGUCGAACGGCAGCACGGAGCUUGCUCUGGUGGCGAGUGGCGAACGGGUGAGUAAUAUAUCGGAACGUACCCUAGAGUGGGGGAUAACGUAGCGAAAGUUACGCUAAUACCGCAUACGAUCUAAGGAUGAAAGUGGGGGAUCGCAAGACCUCAUGCUCGUGGAGCGGCCGAUAUCUGAUUAGCUAGUUGGUAGGGUAAAAGCCUACCAAGGCAUCGAUCAGUAGCUGGUCUGAGAGGACGACCAGCCACACUGGAACUGAGACACGGUCCAGACUCCUACGGGAGGCAGCAGUGGGGAAUUUUGGACAAUGGGCGAAAGCCUGAUCCAGCAAUGCCGCGUGAGUGAAGAAGGCCUUCGGGUUGUAAAGCUCUUUUGUCAGGGAAGAAACGGUGGGAGCUAAUAUCUCUUGCUAAUGACGGUACCUGAAGAAUAAGCACCGGCUAACUACGUGCCAGCAGCCGCGGUAAUACGUAGGGUGCAAGCGUUAAUCGGAAUUACUGGGCGUAAAGCGUGCGCAGGCGGUUUUGUAAGUCUGAUGUGAAAUCCCCGGGCUCAACCUGGGAAUUGCAUUGGAGACUGCAAGGCUAGAAUCUGGCAGAGGGGGGUAGAAUUCCACGUGUAGCAGUGAAAUGCGUAGAUAUGUGGAGGAACACCGAUGGCGAAGGCAGCCCCCUGGGUCAAGAUUGACGCUCAUGCACGAAAGCGUGGGGAGCAAACAGGAUUAGAUACCCUGGUAGUCCACGCCCUAAACGAUGUCUACUAGUUGUCGGGUCUUAAUUGACUUGGUAACGCAGCUAACGCGUGAAGUAGACCGCCUGGGGAGUACGGUCGCAAGAUUAAAACUCAAAGGAAUUGACGGGGACCCGCACAAGCGGUGGAUGAUGUGGAUUAAUUCGAUGCAACGCGAAAAACCUUACCUACCCUUGACAUGGCUGGAAUCCUUGAGAGAUCAGGGAGUGCUCGAAAGAGAACCAGUACACAGGUGCUGCAUGGCUGUCGUCAGCUCGUGUCGUGAGAUGUUGGGUUAAGUCCCGCAACGAGCGCAACCCUUGUCAUUAGUUGCUACGAAAGGGCACUCUAAUGAGACUGCCGGUGACAAACCGGAGGAAGGUGGGGAUGACGUCAAGUCCUCAUGGCCCUUAUGGGUAGGGCUUCACACGUCAUACAAUGGUACAUACAGAGCGCCGCCAACCCGCGAGGGGGAGCUGAUCGCAGAAAGUGUAUCGUAGUCCGGAUUGUAGUCUGCAACUCGACUGCAUGAAGUUGGAAUCGCUAGUAAUCGCGGAUCAGCAUGUCGCGGUGAAUACGUUCCCGGGUCU
rnacentral:rRNA from 1 species